rnacentral:rRNA from 1 species
AGAGUUUGAUCCUGGCUCAGGAUGAACGCUAGCGGCAGGCUUAACACAUGCAAGUCGAGGGGCAUCGGGAGGGAAGCUUGCUUUCCUUGCCGGCGACCGGCGCACGGGUGAGUAACACGUAUGCAACCUGCCCUCUUCAGGGGGACAACCUUCCGAAAGGGAGGCUAAUCCCGCGUAUAUCGGUUUCGGGCAUCCGGGAUCGAGGAAAGAUUCAUCGGAAGAGGAUGGGCAUGCGGCGCAUUAGCUUGACGGCGGGGUAACGGCCCACCGUGGCGACGAUGCGUAGGGGUUCUGAGAGGAAGGUCCCCCACACUGGUACUGAGACACGGACCAGACUCCUACGGGAGGCAGCAGUGAGGAAUAUUGGUCAAUGGGAGAGAUCCUGAACCAGCCAAGCCGCGUGAGGGAAGACGGCCCUAUGGGUUGUAAACCUCUUUUGUCGGAGAACAAAACCCGGGACGAGUCCCGGACUGCGUGUAUCCGAAGAAAAAGCAUCAGCUAACUCCGUGCCAGCAGCCGCGGUAAUACGGAGGAUGCGAGCGUUAUCCGGAUUUAUUGGGUUUAAAGGGUGCGUAGGCGGUCCGUUAAGUCAGCGGUAAAAUUGCGGGGCUCAACCCCGUCGAGCCCUUGAAACUGGCAGACUUGAGUUGGCGAGAAGUACGCCCGAAUGCGCGGUGGUAGCGGUGAAAUGCAUAGAUAUCGCGCAGAACUCCGAUUGCGAAGGCAGCGUACCGGCGCCAGACUGACGCUGAGGCACGAAAGCGUGGGGAUCGAACAGGAUUAGAUACCCUGGUAGUCCACGCAGUAAACGAUGAAUGCUGGUUGUCCGGGUCGAAUGAGACCUGGGCGGCGAAGCGAAAGCGAUAAGCAUUCCACCUGGGGAGUACGCCGGCAACGGUGAAACUCAAAGGAAUUGACGGGGGCCCGCACAAGCGGAGGAACAUGUGGUUUAAUUCGAUGAUACGCGAGGAACCUUACCCGGGCUCAAACGGGAGUGGAAUGGACCAGAGACGGUUCAGCCUACGGGCCGCUUCCGAGGUGCUGCAUGGUUGUCGUCAGCUCGUGCCGUGAGGUGUCGGCUUAAGUGCCAUAACGAGCGCAACCCCCGCCGGCAGUUGCUAACGGGCAAUGCCGAGGACUCUGCCGGGACUGCCGCCGCAAGGCGUGAGGAAGGCGGGGAUGACGUCAAAUCAGCACGGCCCUUACGUCCGGGGCGACACACGUGUUACAAUGGGCGGUACAGCGGGAAGCCAGGCGGCGACGCCGAGCGGAACCCGAAAGCCGUUCUCAGUUCGGAUCGGAGUCUGCAACCCGACUCCGUGAAGCUGGAUUCGCUAGUAAUCGCGCAUCAGCCAUGGCGCGGUGAAUACGUUCCCGGGCCUUGCACUCACACGCCCGUCA